AGCGAACCAAUAAGAAGCUUGCUUUUUGUUGGUUAGCGGCGGACGGGUGAGUAACACGUGGGUAACCUGCCUGUAAGACCGGGAUAACUCCGGGAAACCGGUGCUAAUACCGGAUAGAUUAUCUUUCCGCCUGGAGAGAUAAGGAAAGAUGGCUUUUGCCAUCACUUACAGAUGGGCCCGCGGCGCAUUAGCUAGUUGGUGAGGUAACGGCUCACCAAGGCGACGAUGCGUAGCCGACCUGAGAGGGUGAUCGGCCACACUGGGACUGAGACACGGCCCAGACUCCUACGGGAGGCAGCAGUAGGGAAUCUUCCGCAAUGGACGAAAGUCUGACGGAGCAACGCCGCGUGAGUGAAGAAGGUCUUCGGAUCGUAAAGCUCUGUUGUUAGGGAAGAACAAGUAUCGGAGGAAAUGCCGGUACCUUGACGGUACCUGACGAGAAAGCCACGGCUGACUACGUGCCAGCAGCCGCGGUAAUACGUAGGUGGCAAGCGUUGUCCGGAUUUAUUGGGCGUAAAGCGCGCGCAGGCGGUCC
rnacentral:rRNA from 1 species